rnacentral:lncRNA from 1 species
CUGGCAUUAUCAUUCAAUAAUUAGUUAGGAAACUAAAAUUUGAUAAUAGGAGCAGUCCCCCUUCAUUUCCUUAUGAAAUAUGGAUACUUUAGAAGGAUUAAGCACCCUUUUCUGUUUUGUUCUGUUAAAAGAUUGAGGGAAUAGGAAUUUGGAGACAAAAACUCAAGUGAUUUCCUGAAUGAUAAUCACAGCUAAGAUAUGAAUGAAGAUACUCAUUAAAUGUAAUAUUUAUUCAUUGGCAUAUUAUGUCAAUGG